GUAUAUCUUUCUUGUCUCAGUAAACAUACUUGAACUUGUACACGGAUCAAGACAGCCACUAAGAAGUGACGUGGUCAUCACACACAUCCUAAAUAUUGUUCUGCCUGUCGUUCAAAACUUCUCAAUUUCUAAAUCAAGUUGUUUCCGCCUCACAUUUCAACCAUAGAUGAGUUAUAACCCUUCACCUUCCUCAUGUUGUGCCCGUGAGAGAUAUAUUGGUGAGGGACAUGUGGGGUCACAUGACACAGGUCACAAUGUGGGGUCACAUGACACAGGUCACAAUGUGGGGUCACAUGACACAGGUCACAAUGUGGGGUCAGGUGACACAGGUCACAAUGUGGGGUCACGUGACACAGGUCACAAUGUGGGGUCA